rnacentral:rRNA from 1 species
UACGUAGGGUGCAAGCGUUAAUCGGAAUUACUGGGCGUAAAGCGUGCGCAGGCGGUUUUGUAAGUCUGUCGUGAAAUCCCCGGGCUCAACCUGGGAAUUGCGAUGGAGACUGCAAGGCUAGAAUCUGGCAGAGGGGGGUAGAAUUCCACGUGUAGCAGUGAAAUGCGUAGAGAUGUGGAGGAACACCGAUGGCGAAGGCAGCCCCUUGGGUCAAGAUUGACGCUCAUGCACGAAAGCGUGGGGAGCAAACAGG